rnacentral:rRNA from 1 species
GACCGGCGCACGGGUGAGUAACGCGUAUGCAACCUACCUUCCACAGGGGCAUAACCCGGAGAAAUUCGGACUAAUACCCCAUAACACAGGGACUCCGCAUGGAGAUAUUUGUUAAAGAUUAAUCGGUAGAAGAUGGGCAUGCGUUCCAUUAGCCAGUUGGUGAGGUAACGGCUCACCAAAGCAACGAUGGAUAGGGGAACUGAGAGGUUUAUCCCCCACACUGGAACUGAGACACGGACCAG